AGGGAAGCAGGCAGAUCCAGCCUAGUCUAUGGAUGAUUUGCACACGGAACCAAAUCGAGAAGAAAUUGGAUAUCGCCUUACCUGGAUGUUAGCGACCCGACCGGCUGCCAUUAAAGAAGUUCUUUCUUUUGAUCUAAUUUUGAUUUUCCGCAUUAAAGCGAUAAAAAUACACCUGACAUACAUUUAGUUUCCCGGCUAGAAUAACUCUAGUAAACAGCUCGUCAAAGAGUAAACCUGCAAAUAUUCUUUUUCCACAUAUUAUUUUACAAUUUUACUUCAUUGUAUUUGCUUUAAUCAUUUGCAUCAACACAAAAACUAUCCCUAAAAAUGGUUAAAUCAGUGUCAUCCCUCUUUACCUAUAUUGGCAGGUUUCAUGGAUUUUUCAACCCCAGGGAGACGUAAGGCGUUAAGUGGGCACAUUGAAUUUUUAAAUUGUGAAACUUACGUAGUUACAGUAGUUGCAUUAAUAUAUUUUUAUUAGUUUCUUUUUGAGCAAAAAUUAACAUAUACAUUACGAAACUGGCCACCUAUUAGAAGCGUAAACCCAUCCCAAUUUAUUUUCUGAAAAAUAUUGUUUUGGCCGCCAACAUAAUCAAGUUUAAAAUUAAAAGUGAAAUCAUUUAGGCGAUAUGUUUACGAUGAUACUAAACUUUGUUUUCAAUGCCAAAUUGAAUAGGGCGUUUUCAUUUGGUUACACCUGUUUCGAUUGCACUCAAAUAUAACACAUGUUUGUGUUGAAGAUUUUGCUGUCAAGAGUAAAUAAAUGAGUUUAAAAUAUUA